rnacentral:rRNA from 1 species
AGAGUUUGAUCCUGGCUCAGAUUGAACGCUGGCGGCAUGCCUUACACAUGCAAGUCGAACGGUAACAGGUCUUCGGAUGCUGACGAGUGGCGAACGGGUGAGUAAUACAUCGGAACGUGCCCGAUCGUGGGGGAUAACGGAGCGAAAGCUUGCUAAUACCGCAUACGAUCUACGGAUGAAAGCAGGGGACCGCAAGGCCUUGCGCGGACGGAGCGGCCGAUGGCAGAUUAGGUAGUUGGUGGGAUAAAAGCUUACCAAGCCGACGAUCUGUAGCUGGUCUGAGAGGACGACCAGCCACACUGGGACUGAGACACGGCCCAGACUCCUACGGGAGGCAGCAGUGGGGAAUUUUGGACAAUGGGCGAAAGCCUGAUCCAGCCAUGCCGCGUGCAGGAUGAAGGCCUUCGGGUUGUAAACUGCUUUUGUACGGAACGAAAAGACUCCUUCUAAUAAAGGGGGUCCAUGACGGUACCGUAAGAAUAAGCACCGGCUAACUACGUGCCAGCAGCCGCGGUAAUACGUAGGGUGCAAGCGUUAAUCGGAAUUACUGGGCGUAAAGCGUGCGCAGGGCGGUUAUAUAAGACAGAUGUGAAAUCCCCGGGCUCAACCUGGGAACUGCAUUUGUGACUGUAUAGCUAGAGUACGGCAGAGGGGGAUGGAAUUCCGCGUGUAGCAGUGAAAUGCGUAGAUAUGCGGAGGAACACCGAUGGCGAAGGCAAUCCCCUGGGCCUGUACUGACGCUCAUGCACGAAAGCGUGGGGGAGCAAACAGGAUUAGAUACCCUGGUAGUCCACGCCCUA